UACAGAGGGUGCGAGCGUUAAUCGGAAUUACUGGGCGUAAAGCGUGCGUAGACGGUAGCGUAAGUCAGAUGUGAAAGCCCCGGGCUCAACCUGGGAACUGCAUUUGAGACUGCUCUGCUCGGGUGCGGAAGAGGGAAGCGGAAUUUCCGGUGUAGCGGUGAAAUUCGUAGAUAUUCGCAAGAACACCAGUGGCGAAGGCGGCUCACUGGACCGGUACUGACGCUGAGGUGCGAAAGCGUGGGGAGCAAACAGG
rnacentral:rRNA from 1 species